AGCUUUGUACAGUGGCAGUAUUUUAGCCAGUGAGGCUCAUCUGAGGUGUGAGUAUUGUUGAUUGAGACCUACUUACUAUCCUUAGUAUCAGAUUUCCUGUAUAUGCAAUAGUA
rnacentral:snRNA from 1 species